UAAAGUCUGGCCUGCCCACUGAUUUAUUUUAAAGGGCCGCGGUAUACUGACCGUGCGAAGGUAGCAUAAUCAUUAGUCUUUUAAUUGAAGGCUUGUAUGAAUGGUUGGACAAAAAGCAAACUGUCUCAGUUGUAAUAAUUGAAUUUAACUUUUGAGUGAAAAGGCUUAAAUAAGUUAGGGGGACGAUAAGACCCUAUAAAGCUUGACAAUAAGCCGUUUAUAUUAUAAAUUGUUAGUAUAACUUGAUUUUAAAUGGUGUUUGUUGCGUUGGGGCGACGAGAAUAUAAAAGAUAACUGUUCUUAUAAUAUUUAAUAACAGAAAUAGUUGGAAAAUUAAUGAUCCUUUCUUUAAGAUCAUAAGAUUAAGUUACUUUAGGGAUAACAGCGUAAUCUUCCUUGAGAGUUCAUAUCGACAGGAAGGGUUGCGACCUCGAUGUUGAAUUAAGGUAUCCUUAUAAUGCAGCAGUUAUAAAGGAAGGUCUGUUCGACCUUUAAAUCCUU
rnacentral:rRNA from 1 species